UACGUAGGGUGCAAGCGUUGUCCGGAAUUAUUGGGCGUAAAGAGCUCGUAGGCGGCUUGUCACGUCGGAUGUGAAAACUCGGGGCUUAACUCCGAGCCUGCAUUCGAUACGGGCAGGCUAGAAUUCGGUAGGGGAGACUGGAAUUCCUGGUGUAGCGGUGAAAUGCGCAGAUAUCAGGAGGAACACCGAUGGCGAAGGCAGGUCUCUGGGCCGAUAUUGACGCUGAGGAGCGAAAGCGUGGGGAGCGAACAGG
rnacentral:rRNA from 1 species